UCAAGAACGAAAGUUAGAGGUUCGAAGGCGAUCAGAUACCGCCCUAGUUCUAACUGUAAACGAUGCCAGCUAGCGAUCCGCCGGCGUUUCAUUAACGACCCGGCGGGCAGCUUCCGGGAAACCGAAGCUUUUCGGUUCCGGGGGAAGUAUGAUUGCAAAGUUGAAACUUAAAGGAAUUGACGGAAGGGCACCACCAGGAGUGGAGCCUGCGGCUUAAUUU
rfam:Punica granatum cultivar Dabenzi C5118226, whole genome shotgun sequence.